GUCGGGAUAGCUCAGCCUGGUAAAG
rnacentral:tRNA from 1 species